UCCCGAGCCGAAACCCUUUUCUCCUCUUUCUCACACGCGACGCCGCGCGAUCCUUCUCCUCUCGUGGCGGAAAUGAAGAAGUAGGCUUAGGGCUUCACUCCGGCGGCCGGCGAGCUCCCUCCUCCGCGGGUUCUUCACAUAUCCGAGCUCCUUUCGACAAGGUGAGCGUACAAGCACAAGAAGGGGCCGAGAUCUUCAUCCCUCCGAACCCUAGCAACCCUUCCUUCGGCUAUAAAGGAACAGCUAAAGUAUAAAGAGGAAGGCGACAAGGAGAUGCGUGAUGGAUGGUGUGUGAUGUUGGACUAUGGGAGAGAUCUGGGAACAUCAUUAAGUUAUUUUGGUUUUGGUGAAAACAUUUGAGACUGUAUCAUUUAUUCUAGAUCUUUGAGAAUAUCUUUGGUUCUAGAUUGCAUGCUGUGAUGUAAUUGUUAGUAAGUUAGUACUU